CCCUGAUCCAGGCUGUGAACCAUGGGUGAAAUGUUCCUGCUCUGUCACAUGAGCUGCUCAGUUCAGCUCUCUCUGAGGAAUAGUGAGGAACCCUGAAAGCUGGAACAGAAGCUGACUUCUGUCACCAAGGAGAAGAUGCAUACUUUAUCAACAAAGAUAAAAGUAACCAGCACAGUAGAAA